UACGGAGGGUGCAAACGUUGCUCGGAAUCAUUGGGCGUAAAGCACAUGUAGGCGGCUACGCAAGUUGGAUGUGAAAGCCCAGGGCUCAACCUUGGAAGUGCAUCCAAAACUGCGUGGCUUGAGUUCCGGAGGGGCCCAGAGAAUUCCCGGUGUAGAGGUGAAAUUCGUAGAUAUCGGGAGGAAUACCAGUGGCGAAGGCGCUGGGCUGGACGGAUACUGACGCUGAGAUGUGAAAGCGUGGGGAGCAAACAGG
rnacentral:rRNA from 1 species